CCUAAAAGUAAAAACCUAAUAUGAAAAUUCUAGGAAACAAUUGUCCGAACAAAGAAAAACUAUGGAGUCGUCUCUGGAUUUAGGCGAAACUGAAACGAAUACAAUCGAUUCUUUAGAAGGAAGACAAGAAAUGUCAUCGUCGUAUGCAGAUUUACAAAAUGUGACGCUCACGGCGGCCGAAAAGGAUCAGAACUCACUUCCAUGUUAUUUUGAAGAAAAAACGCCCAAAACA